rnacentral:rRNA from 1 species
UACAGAGGGUGCGAGCGUUAAUCGGAUUUACUGGGCGUAAAGCGCGCGUAGGCGGCUAAUUAAGUCAAAUGUGAAAUCCCCGAGCUUAACUUGGGAAUUGCAUUCGAUACUGGUUAGCUAGAGUGUGGGAGAGGAUGGUAGAAUUCCAGGUGUAGCGGUGAAAUGCGUAGAGAUCUGGAGGAAUACCGAUGGCGAAGGCAGCCAUCUGGCCUAACACUGACGCUGAGGUGCGAAAGCAUGGGGAGCAAACAGG